rnacentral:rRNA from 1 species
CCUACGGGAGGCAGCAGUGAGGAAUAUUGGUCAAUGGGCGGGAGCCUGAACCAGCCAAGCCGCGUGAGGGAAGAAGGUACAGCGUAUCGUAAACCUCUUUUGUCAGGGAACAAAGGCGGGGACUAGUCCCCGGAUGAGGGUACCUGAAGAAAAAGCAUCGGCUAAUUCCGUGCCAGCAGCCGCGGUAAUACGGAGGAUGCGAGCGUUAUCCGGAUUUAUGGGGUUUAAGGGGUGCGCAGGCGGCCUGUUAAGGCAGCGGUAAAAGCCCGGGGCUCAACCCCGGCGAGCCGUUGAAACUGGCGGGCUGGAGUGGGAGAGAAGUACGCGGAAUGUGCGGUGUAGCGGUGAAAUGCUUAGAUAUCGCGCAGAACCCCGAUUGCGAAGGCAGCGGACCGGCUCCACACUGACGCUGAGGCACGAAAGCGUGGGUAUCGAACAGGAUUAGAUACCCUUGUAGUC